rnacentral:rRNA from 1 species
AACGAACGCUGGCGGCAGGCUUAACACAUGCAAGUCGAACGCACCGCAAGGUGAGUGGCAGACGGGUGAGUAACACGUGGGGAUCUGCCCAAUGGUACGGAAUAGCUCCGGGAAACUGGAAUUAAUACCGUAUGUGCCCGCAAGGGGAAAGAUUUAUCGCCAUUGGAUGAACCCGCGUCGGAUUAGCUAGUUGGUGUGGUAAAGGCGCACCAAGGCGGCGAUCCGUAGCUGGUCUGAGAGGAUGAUCAGCCACACUGGGACUGAGACACGGCCCAGACUCCUACGGGAGGCAGCAGUGGGGAAUAUUGGACAAUGGGCGCAAGCCUGAUCCAGCCAUGCCGCGUGAGUGAUGAAGGCCUUAGGGUUGUAAAGCUCUUUCGCCGACGAAGAUAAUGACGGUAGUCGGAGAAGAAGCCCCGGCUAACUUCGUGCCAGCCGCCGCGGUAAGAC